rfam:Triticum aestivum genome assembly, contig: Triticum_aestivum_CS42_TGACv1_scaffold_594741_7BS
UACGUACUUCCUCCGUCGGAAAUACUUGUCAUCAAAAUGGAUAAAAGGAGAUGUAUCUAGACGUAUUUUAGUUCUACAUACAUUUAUUUUUAUCUAUUUUGAUGACAAGUAUUAUGAGACGGAGGGAGUAAUUG